rnacentral:lncRNA from 1 species
UAUUUUGAUAUUUUUCAUCGCAAAAUAUUUCAUCUUCUAAUGAACUCCUAUGUUGUGGUGAAGUCCUUAGGACUAUUUAGACUCGACAAAGGAGGAUUUGUCGUUUAGUCCUUAAAUCUGUUCACGACCAAAUGAUACGUUGUUACCAAGGAUGACAAUGUUUAUCAAGCAUAGGUCGUUGUGUGCCAUAUAGGUUGGUUGUCCUCUUAACCAAUGAGUGUGGAGACACUAGUAUGGCAUAC